AGGAAGCUGCCUGCACCAUGGCCUGGACCCCUCUCCUGCUCAUGCUUCUCUCCCACUGCACAGGUUCCCUCUCCCAGGCUGUGCUGACUCAGCCGCCCUCCCUCUCUGCAUCUCUGGGAGCCACAGCCAGACUCACCUGCACCCUCAGCAGAGACCUCAGUGUUGCUGGUAAAAACAUGUACUGGUACCAGCAGAAGCCAGGGAGCGCUCCCCGGUUUUUCCUGUACUACUACUCAGACUCAGACAAGCAGCUGAGACCUGGGGUCCCCAGUCGAGUUUCCGGAUCCAAAGACACCUCGGCCAAUGCUGCACAUUUGGUCAUCUCGGGGCUGCAGCCUGAGGACGAGACCGACUAUUAUUGUGCUACACAAUAUGGCAGUGGGAGCAGCUUCAGUUACUCACAGUGGCUCAGAUGAAGAGGAAGUGAGACAGAAACCCCUGGGCCCAGAGCCC